GUCAGGUCUCUCUGACACAUUCUUGAUCUGAAGAGGAAUACCUGCUGUUAACAGGGGCCAUGGCAUCCAGCAUCAGAAUACAGCGGGGCUGUGUUAAAACAAGGAGUAUUGUGGCAGUGUGGAGCAGGCACCAGCCUGGGAAUGAGCAUCCAAACUGAGUGCCAGCGGUACAAGAGAUUCAGCCUAGUGAAAAGCAUGAUUGACCUCUCUGGGUCCACCACUGCCAUCCACUGUAUGUUUCUUCAUUGACUAAACUUGCCACGGUUCUCCCCUCUAAGAAAUGUUUGCCACAUCGGGACAACAAGAAUAUAUUCCUGACAUAUGACAUCUCUCCAAAACUGACUUUGCUAUAUUCCAGGAAUAAAAUAAAAGAAGAAAAAGAAAGAAUGUCAUCUGGAGAAGACUUCUAGAAUCUUCCCACUUAAGAGGGUUAGAGUAGAAAACUUUCCUGGGAGUAAUAUUGAAUGAGUGCUGGAACUCACUAAAUAACAAGCAUAAUCACACUUGGGGAGAGAUAGAAGCCCUGCAAGGGAACAGAAGAACUACUAAGAAUUUUCAAAGUCAUUACAUUAGCAAAUGUUAGCGGAAUACUUUUGGAAGGAAAUAUUUCUGUGAUGGCAAAAUCAUGACUGCAACUAAAGCAAGAUGAUUUGACUAAAUAGAGUUCCAUUCUCUGUUCUUGGCAGGAUGUGUGCUGAUGGCUAUAAUUUGUAAUUCUGGAGCCAAAUCAAGGCAACUUAUCAUGAUACAUCUGCUGAGUUUUGAAUAUGCAUGGAGUGAGCAUGUGUGCUUUCCUGAAAGCUUUUCCUAGAAGCAAAAUGCACUGCAAAGAUUUAUAUAUUCAUUGUGUCAUCUUUUGACAUAGUUGAUGAAAAUGAAGGCAUAACCCCAUGCAGG